AUUCAGCUGACGAGUCUCAAAUAGGACGAAGUGACGCCCAUCCUAGAU
rnacentral:hammerhead_ribozyme from 2 species